rnacentral:rRNA from 1 species
UUCUUUAUGGUUUUAUAUAAAGUAAUUUCUGCCCAAUGAUUAAUUUUAUUUAAAUGGCUGCAGUAUAUUGACUGUACAAAGGUAGCAUAAUAAUUAGUUUCUUAAUUAGGAACUUGUAUGAAAGGAUAAAUGAAAAAUUAACUUUAUUAAUUUAAGGAUUAAAAUUUUAUUUUUUGGUUAAAAGGCUAAAUUGUUUUUUAGGGACGAUAAGACCCUAUAGAAUUUAAAAUAUAAAUUGAUUGUCUUUUUUUUAGGUUUAAUUAAUUCAUUUAAUUUAAAUUUUUAAUUGGGGUGAUUAAUAAAUUUAACUUUAUUUAUUUAACUCAUUAAUUUAUGUUAAUAUGAUCCUUUAUAAGAUUGUAAGAUAAAUUACCUUAGGGAUAACAGCGUUAUUUUAAUAUAAAGUUCAUAUUUAAAUUGAAGUUUGCGACCUCGAUGUUGAAUUAAGAUUUAAUUAAGGUGUAGAAGCUUUAAUAUUGAGUCUGUUCGACUCUUUAUAUCUUACA